ensembl:misc_RNA predicted gene, 27348
AAGACUUUAGGUAAGAUAAAAUUUUCUGUUUAUGUACAGUCCAGAUACAUAGGGGGAGGGCCCAGUGCUUUCAAGCUCCCACACACAGCACCGCCCAUCUACCUAAACUCUGAUUUGAAAGGACCACUAACUUCUGGGGUGAGAGAAACAGCCUAUCCUUUCCUCUUCAUUCCAUUGCAAAC